AUACGGAAGGUCCUAGCGUUGUUCGGAAUUACUGGGCGUAAAGCGCAUGUCGGCGGAACAGAAAGUUAGAAGUGAAAUCCCUGGGCUCAACCUAGGAAUUGCUUUUAAAACUUCUGUUCUGGAAUUAAGGAGAGGAAAAUGGAAUAUCCAGUGUAGAGGUGAAAUUCGUAGAUAUUGGAUGGAACACCAGUGGCGAAGGCGAUUUUCUGGACUUAUAUUGACGCUGAGAUGCGAAGGCAUGGGUAGCAAACGGGAUUAGAAACCCCAGUAGUCC
rnacentral:rRNA from 1 species